ACAGAUUUCCCCAUUGUGUUCACUGAAGAGUGCUGUUGGAGAAGAACAUCUUCCCACCAGUGAGAAAUUUGGCUCCAUUGAUUUGAUCAACUAGACCAUAGAUAUGUGCAAAGUGGUUCCAGAAUUUGAACUUCACACCAAGGAAGAAAAGUUACCCACUAAAUGAAGCAUUAGCUGACAUCCCCCUUCUCUAGAUGUACGAGGUCUUAUCACUUCCUAAGCUCCUGGGGUGUCCCUGUAGCCCCAGCUGGCCUAGAGCUCACU